rnacentral:rRNA from 1 species
GUCCACGCCCUAAACGAUGUCAACUGGGUGUUGGGGAAGCGAUUCCUUGGUACCGUAGCUAACGCGUGAAGUUGACCGCCUGGGGAGUACGGCCGCAAGGUUAAAACUCAAAGGAAUUGACGGGGACCCGCACAAGCGGUGGAUGAUGUGGAUUAAUUCGAUGCAACGCGAACAACCUUACCUACCCUUGACAUGUCCGGAAUCCUGGUGAGAGCUGGGAGUGCCCGAAAGGGAAUCGGAACACAGGUGCUGCAUGGCUGUCGU